rnacentral:pre_miRNA from 1 species
AACGUACUCCUUCCGUCCGAAAAUACUUGUCAUCAAAAUGGACAAAAAGGGACGUAUCUAGAACUAAAAUACAUCUAGAUACAUCCACUUUUAUUCAUUUUGAUGACAAGUAUUUCCAGACGGAGGGAGUACAAA